rnacentral:rRNA from 1 species
AUCGUGAAACCGCGAAUGGCUCAUUAUAACAGCUAUAAUUUACUUGAUCUUGACACAAUCCUACUUGGAUAACUGUGGUAAUUCUAGAGCUAAUACAUGCAUUAAAGCGCUGACCUCACGGGAAGAGUGCAUUUAUUAGAACAAAACCAAGCGGCUUCGGCUGUUUCUGGUUGACUCAUAGUAACUGAGCUGAUCGCAUGGUCUUGCACCGGCGACGUGUCUUUCAAGUAUCUGCCGUAUCAACUUUCGAUGGUAGUGUAUCUGACUACCAUGGUGAUCACGCGUAACGGAGAAUAAGGGUUCGGCUCCGGAGAGUUCGCCUGAGAAAUCGCGAACACAUCUAAGGAAGGCAGCAGGCGCGAAAAUUACCCACUCUCAGCACGAGGAGGUAGUGACGAAAAAUAACGAGACCGUUCUCUUAUGAGGCCGGUCAUCGGAAUGGGUACAAUUUAAACCCUUUAACGAGUAUCUAUGAGAGGGCAAGUCUGGUGCCAGCAGCCGCGGUAAUUCCAGCUCUCAAAGU